GUCUGUUUUAGUCUAAAUAAAAUGUAGGUCGGUUUACAGGAUUAUUCUAUGUCAAGAAAGAUUAACUUUCAUUAUAUAUAAAUUCCCCCCUCUAAUGAUUAUUAAAAUAGCCACCUUCUAUUUCUUGCUAGACCUCUGUUUCUGCUGAUGGAGAAGGGUCUAAAAUUUGCUGAGCGAAUAGUUUGGGCGUCUGAUUUCUAGGAUUAAUUAGAAGCAUCCUAUAUAAAUAAAUAAACAAACAUCGAAGUGUGUAUGCUGUUUAGUUAAGAUUUAAGACUUCUAAAACACUAUCUUCUUUCUACCAACUUUAUUCAAAAUAAGAAAAUUUAAACUCUAUGCAUAUUCUUAUCCUCAGAUCCAUUUGCUAUGGUAUCUAAUAUAGUUUGGUAUUAAAAAUUUUGCAGGUCUUCGUAGCUGCGAUUACUAAAAGAAAGCAAGUCUGUCCAUCUAGCUCUGAAAUGCUUCGCCAGUGCCGAAACAAUGCACCUGAUCGCCUUGUAGUCGGUGGUGGCCUCCGACACACCGACAAAUUCAGGUCUGCAAUUCUAUAUAUAAUAUAAAUCCCUCAUAGAGCAGUGCCCACACCAACAAAGAUUAAGAGGUGUCCCUUGAAUUAUUUAAACCCACUGGUAUUAACAAUUGAAGACAGGAUAGUUUAGAUGUCACGAGCUCAGUUGCAUCCAUUUGGAUUUAGGGCUUUACUGCUCAUGCAGAUAGCUUUAGAAUAGGCUGCUCUCUCUCUCUCUCUCUCUCUCUCU
rnacentral:lncRNA from 1 species